CGGAGGAAAAGAAACCAACCGGGAUUGCCUCAGUAACGGCGAGUGAAGCGGCAAAAGCUCAAAUUUGAAAUCUGGCCUCUUUCGGGGUCCGAGUUGUAAUUUGAAGAAGCGACUCUGGUACCGGCCCUUGUCUAUGUUCCUUGGAACAGGACGUCACAGAGGGUGAGAAUCCCGUGCGAUGAGGGCGCCGGGUACCAUGUAGAGCGUUUUCGACGAGUCGAGUUGUUUGGGAAUGCAGCUCUAAGUGGGUGGUAAAUU
rnacentral:rRNA from 1 species